rnacentral:rRNA from 1 species
UACAGAGGUCCCAAGCGUUGUUCGGAUUCAUUGGGCGUAAAGGGUGCGUAGGCGGUGAGGUAAGUCUGGUGUGAAAUCCCGGGGCUCAACCCCGGAACUGCACUGGAUACUGCUUUACUAGAGUACUGGAGAGGGAACUGGAAUUUACGGUGUAGCAGUGAAAUGCGUAGAGAUCGUAAGGAAGACCAGUGGCGAAGGCGAGUUCCUGGACAGUUACUGACGCUGAGGCACGAAGGCCAGGGGAGCAAACGGGAUUAGAAACCCCCGUAGUCC